CUGGUGUUGGCAGCAGGUCCACCCUGGCCCCUGGAGCCCUACCUCCACUAGUUUGUUCUGCAUGCCAGUGUGGCCAGCUCACAAGGCCAUGGAGAACUUGCGGUUUUUCUGUUCCUGCUUGUCCGUCUGAGACAUAUGUAUCCCACGGGAAUGCCUUGACCUUUUCUGGUCUGAUGGACUUAUUGUUAAGGGAGGUUUCGGUACCUGACAAUAAUAGAUGUUGAAACUAAAUUUCUCCCCCCUCCCUCCUGCUUUUGG
rnacentral:lncRNA from 1 species